rnacentral:rRNA from 1 species
GACGAACACUGGCGGCGUGCUUAACACAUGCAAGUCGUACGGUAAGGCCCUUUCGGGGGUACACGAGUGGCGAACGGGUGAGUAACACGUGAGUAACCUGCCCACAACUUUGGGAUAACGCUAGGAAACUGGUGCUAAUACUGGAUAUGUGCUCCUGCUGCAUGGUGGGGGUUGGAAAGCUCCGGCGGUUGUGGAUGGACUCGCGGUCUAUCAGCUUGUUGGUGGGGUAGUGGCCUACCAAGGCGGCGACGGGUAGCCGGCCUGAGAGGGUGACCGGCCACAUUGGGACUGAGAUACGGCCCAGACUCCUACGGGAGGCAGCAGUGGGGAAUAUUGCACAAUGGGCGCAAGCCUGAUGCAGCAACGCCGCGUGCGGGAUGACGGCCUUCGGGUUGUAAACCGCUUUCAGCAGGGACGAAGCUUUUUGUGACGGUACCUGCAGAAGAAGCACCGGCUAACUACGUG